GAGCUGCUGCAACUGGCCUCUUUCUCUUGAUAGUUAGACGAAAGACCCCUCUCAGGCUCCCUGAGACUCCUCAGAACAGCAGAACAGCAGCAGUGCGAUGUUGGAUAAUGAGAUCUGCUCUCUUCUGAAGUGGUUAGAUUUGAAAAGCCAGCGAAGCUGUCAUUAGCAAGGCAUUUUCUUUUCAUUUCAACCAUUUCAUUAUAUCCUUUACCAAAUUUGAGUUUAUGAAAUAUUUGACAGGCCUCCUGAUGUUUUCCUAUGUUGAUGAAAGACGGAUGCUGUUUGUGUAAAAGGAAAAGGCAUGCUAUAAAAAGAAAAAGAAGGAUAAAAAGGGCCGGGCAGGGAGGCAGAGGUUGCAGUGAGCAGAGAUCGUGCUGCUGCUAAAAAACACAAAAAUUAGCUGGGCGUGGUGACGGGUGCCUGUAAUCCCAGAUACUCAGGAGGCUGAGGCAGGAGAAUCGCUUGAACCCGGAAAGUGGAGGUUGCAUUGAGCUGAGAUUGAGCCAUUGCACUCCAGCCUGGGCAACAAGAGCAAAACUCCAUCUC
ensembl:lncRNA novel transcript, sense intronic C19orf42